AUUGAACGCUGGCGGCAGGCCUAACACAUGCAAGUCGAGCGAGCGGCGGACGGGUGAGUAAUGUCUGGGAAACUGCCUGAUGGAGGGGGAUAACUACUGGAAACGGUAGCUAAUACCGCAUACCAUCAGAUGUGCCCAGAUGGGAUUAGCUCGUAGGUGGGGUAAAGGCUCACCUAGGCGACGAUCCCUCGCUGGUCUGAGAGGAUGACCAGCAACACUGGAACGUAGACACGGUCCAGAGCCCUACGGUAGGCAGCGGUGGGGAAUAGUGCACAAUGGGCGCAAGCCUGAUGCAGCAAUGCCGCGUGUGUUAAGAAGGCCUUCGGGUUGUAAAGCACUUUCAGCGGGGAUGCGUUACCCGCAGAAGAAGCACCGGCUAACUCCGUGCCAGCAGCCGCGGUAAUUC
rnacentral:rRNA from 1 species